UACGUAGGUGGCAAGCGUUGUCCGGAAUUAUUGGGCGUAAAGGGUGCGUAGGUGGCUCUUUAAGUGGGAUGUGAAAGCCCUUGGCUUAACCAAGGAUGUGCAUUCCAAACUGGGGAGCUAGAGUGCAGGAGAGGAAAGUGGAAUUCCUAGUGUAGCGGUGAAAUGCGUAGAGAUUAGGAGGAACACCAGUGGCGAAGGCGACUUUCUGGACUGUAACUGACACUGAGGCACGAAAGCGUGGGGAGCAAACAGG
rnacentral:rRNA from 1 species